ACGGGGAGCACCACAACGAGGUGGAGCCUGCGGUUUAAUCGGACUCAACGCCGGGAAACUCACCAGAUAAGACAGCUGAAUGAUAGUCGGGCUGAAGACUCUACUUGACUAGCUGAGAGGAGGUGCAUGGCCGUCGUUAGUUCGUACUGUGAAGCAUCCUGUUAAGUCAGGCAACGAGCGAGACCCACGCCAACAGUUGCCAGCUCGUCCUCCGGGAUGGUGGGGACACUGUUGGGACCGCCUCUGCUAAAGGAGGAGGAAGGAAUGGGCAACGGUAGGUCAGCAUGCCCCGAAGUUAUCUGGGCUACACGCGGGCUACAAUGGGUGGGACAAUGGGUAUCGACACCGAAAGGUGAAGGCAAUCUACCUAAACCCAUCCGUAGUUCGGAUUGUGGGCUGCAACUCGCCCACAUGAAGCUGGAAUCUGUAGUAAUCGUGUCUCAAAAUGGCACGGUGAAUAUGUCCCUGCUCCUU
rnacentral:rRNA from 1 species